ACUCAAGAAACGGACUUCAGUCCAACCUAAAGUUAACUUAAUCUGACAAAAUCCUGCCGUAACUUUAGAUCAAUUCGAAUAAGGUACAGCCUAUUUGAAACAGGAUACAACCUCAACUAAUGGGUUCUACACCAAGUACAGCCCAACCAAGUGGGCCUAAGAGCAGCCACCUUCCAAAAAGCGUCAAAGCUUAAUUAUUCUCCAACUAAAUACCCCAAACCCCAUCUAACCCUUUUACAGUAAUGAGUAAUUCUAUAUCUCUAUAGAACCUUUUAUGUUAAAACUAGUAACAAGAAGACGACCCUUCUCUUAAAUGCCAACAUAAACCAGAAAGGACACACCACUGGCAAUUAACACCCGUGAGCUACUAAUAGUAACACCAUAAAAAACCUCUAUUUAUCAAUAUGUUAACCUGACACAAGCGCAUUAAAAGAAAGAUUAAAAGGAAAAGAAGGAACUCGGCAAACAUUAACCCCGCCUGUUUACCAAAAACAUCGCCUCCUGAACAACUAUAGGAGGUCCAGCCUGCCCAGUGACUCUGUUCAACGGCCGCGGUAUCCUAACCGUGCAAAGGUAGCGUAAUCACUUGUCCUUUAAAUGCGGACUAGUAUGAACGGCACCACGAGGGUUACACUGUCUCCUUUUCCCAAUCAGUGAAACUGAUCUCCCCGUGAAGAAGCGGGGAUACACAUAUAAGACGAGAAGACCCUAUGGAGCUUUAAACAAGACAACAAUCGCGACACAAUUUAAAUUUCAGAAUUCCCCGCCCUCACCCAAGCGACAUGAUUGCUAGUUUUAGGUUGGGGUGACCGCGGAGUAUAAACCAACCUCCCUGUUGAAGGGGCCCUCCCCUAAGCAAAAACCCACAAUUUUAUGCAUCAAUAAAUUGACAUCAAUUGACCCAAUAUUUUGACCAACGAACCAAGUUACCCUAGGGAUAACAGCGCAAUCCAUUUUGAGAGCCCCUAUCGACAAAUGGGUUUACGACCUCGAUGUUGGAUCAGGGUAUCCAAGUGGCGCAGCCGCUACUAAAGGUUCGUUUGUUCAACGACUAAGACCCU
rnacentral:rRNA from 1 species